rnacentral:lncRNA from 1 species
GCAGGUGGAUAGAGGCGGAUAAUUUUUGGGUGGCCUCGACCCUAACUAAAAGUUAUCCGGGGAUAAGGGGGUGAGGGAUAAGAAAAAAAUAUAUAUAAAAGAAACAAAAUGUUAUUUUUAUUUAUAUAUAUCGAUAUAAUUAAACAAAAUAUAAUUUUUUAAUAUCUAAAUAUUUUAUAUUUUGUUUCUCUCUAUAUUUUCCUUUCUUAUCCCCACCCUUAAUCAUACAUUCUAAAAAGUAUCCAAACAAUUUAAAAGUUAUCCCCCUUAAAAUUAAUCCCUCUCUAAAAUUUAUCUCCCCUUUUAAAACUAUCCCCCUCUCUAUCCGCCAGCCAAACGGCCGUAUAGGUGAAAUAUGGAGAAGAAGGCGACGGGGUUUAAAGUUUUUAUUUUUUUUUAAUUGAUAAGUGAUGGUUAACGGAUGAUAUUUUGGCCACGCGUCGGAAAAUUAGUGAAGGUAUAUAGAAUAGGUACAGAUACACGGUACAGAAGAUCCCAAGCCGAAAGAAUGAGGAAUACCCAACGAGCAUUGUUUUUAUUUUUUAAUCAAGCUAAGGUGUGCAAAAGAAUCGGAUUGAUUUGAAUUUUAUUGUUCUUAAAAAUUUGAAUCAAUUCGAUUCAUUCAUAAUUUAGAAUCAAUUCAAUCCAAAUCUAAAAAUAAAAAUUUGAUUCUAAAUUGGAAUCGCGAUUUUGACAAAUAAAUUAUAAAAUUUCCAGCUAAAAAUCACACACACAUACAUAUAUUCAUGAUAAUUUGUUUCCAAAAUAACCAUGGAUUCAUGCUAAAUUUCGUACCAAAUAACCACAUAUUCAUGAUAAAUUUUCUAUUAUAAUUGAGACUUUUUAAUUAGGGAGGGAGCUAGUCUCACCAGAUAUAAAGUGAAAAUUCAGUGUAUUAAAGAUAUAAAAAAAUAUAUUAAUAUUAUUUAGUCUGGUUUGUUUGAAAUCGAAAACAGUUAUACGAAUUCGUGAACCGAACCGCCAAGAUCAAUUUUUAGGAUUUCGAAACCAGAAUUGAAUCGGCUUGUAAUACCUUGAUCCUAAAUUAUCUUUACUUUAUUACAGAAAUAGAAAUUAUUGAAAUUAAAUUUAAUCCAUUUAAUACUAUUUGUGGUUAAAGUGAAAAAUUUAUAAUUUUGCAGAUAAAAUUAAAAAAAAUAUUUAAAUUAAAUAAGAUAAUAUAAUUAUUUAAAAGAUGAAGAGAUUAAAGUGUAAUUUUAUGGAUUGAAUUGACACAGCAUGGUGGUGACUCACCACCCAUGGCAGUUUGUUUGGACUUUUGUCUUCUUUGAAGACAAAUUUUUAUAUUGAGAGAGUGAUGCAGAGAGUAAGAAAAGAAAAAAGGAUAGAAAGAAAAGGACACAAAGAAAGAAAGUGAGAGAUGCGCAGCAGAGAGAGAGUACGGACAGAAAGAAAGAAAUAUUGGAAGAUUAAGACAAAUUAUAUAGUGUGAUUAUCAUGAUUAUAAUUGAUCAGUUAUUGAAAUCAACGGUAAGAUGAUAUCGGAUCGAGAUAAAAUUUUAGUAUAAUGAUCAUGGAAGCCAGAUCUUCAUAUUUUAGGAUAUCGAUUCCAAUUUGAGGUAAGUAAGAGAUAUACAAUAUGAUUUCUAAAACUACGAAAUUAUUUUUAUUAAUUCUGAUUUGGAUAUCCAUGAGCAAGUGUGAUAUCUGUUGAAAGUCAUGAGAUUUAUUGAAAUUUAUGACAUCAUUGAAAUCAUGAUGUGUAUUGGAUAAAGUGUCAUGAUAUUGAAUUGUACGGACUAAGUGAGCCUGCAAAUAAUUCUGGCACCGAGUAAAGCUAAAAAGGCUAGGUGAGGUGGGCGAGGCCGACCACUAGUCGCUACCAAGAAAGACCGGGUAAGAGGUCUUUGAUGAAUUAUUAAUUGUUGAGCAUAUUCUAGUUGUAUUGUAUAUUUCUCUGCUUAAUUUAUUUUUCAAGCGAACGAGAGAGUCUGGAUAGUGUGAGAUGGGUCGGGAGAAAGACUUGAAAUUUAAUGAAUAUUUGUAUUAAUUUUAUUUAAAAAGAUUGUAUAUGUAAAUAAUUGGAGACUCUGAUUUAUAUACAAUUGGAGACGAUUACGGAUAUACGAUUGCGAUUAAUUAACGACUCGGGCUGAAUUGUUACACGGCUCCUCAAAAAACCAAACCAAACUGACCGAUUCGAAUCGGACCGAACCGGUGUUUUGGUAUUUUACGUUUUUUAUUGUUUUUUGUGAUCAUGUUUUUUAUGUCUCUGUUAGUAAAUGUUAUAAUGUGCUUCCUAGGCUAAAUUUCUUAGACUAGCUCAAGAUGAAGUAUUGAAUUACGAUUUUGAUAUGUUCUAAGUCCUUCUCUUGCACUUGAUUUCAUAUAAUACUGAAGGAUUAUUAUUGAUGAAUUUUUGGUCAAAUUUGAGAAUUGUAUAUACUCGAGUAAAGAUGAUAGUUUUGUGUUGAUUUUCACAAGUUAAUCUUUUUUCCUUACAUUCUAUGUGUGUGUAAAUGUAUAUUCCAAGGACUUA